rnacentral:rRNA from 1 species
AAUGAACGCUGGCGGCGUGCUUAACACAUGCAAGUCGAACGAGAAAGGGAUUGCUUGCAAUCCUGAGUAGAGUGGCGCACGGGUGAGUAACACGUAGAUAAUCUGCCUUCAAGCCUGGGAUAACUAUUCGAAAGGAUAGCUAAUACCGGAUAAAGUCGAUUUACAUAAGUAGAUUGAUGAAAGAUUGCCUCUUCUUGAAAGCAAUUGUUUGGGGAUGAGUCUGCGGACCAUUAGCUUGUUGGUGGGGUAAAGGCCUACCAAGGCUGCGAUGGUUAGCUGGUCUGAGAGGAUGAUCAGCCACACUGGAACUGACACACGGUCCAG